AUGACGCAGAUGAAGACUACUACCUUCGACAGCAGCUGCAGGAUCAAACGCCAACCGAAGAUUCCGACGAAGACGUUCUUAUUUAUUGUGAAACAACAGGUUGGAUCUCUGGUUUAUGGAAAAGACCACAUGGUUAUGAGGCCAAAGAAGACGUUCAGGCUAUGUCUUCGUAACGAGAGAUGGAGGAUUUUUGCCUGGAUUCAUGUGUGGUCGAUCAAUUCAUGGCCGGUUUAUAUAGAAAAUUACGGAAUUAUUGGAAAACUGUCACGCACAAUAAAGAGGGCAAUUGCAAAGUACAGAGAGCGCCGCUUUGAAACCGGAUUAUUUUAUUUCGUCCCAGACAAAAAACACUUGACAUUCACAGUCAGCAGUUACCUCUACGGAGAUGGUGAGUUCUUAAAAGAUCUGUGGAGGAAAAAGAGACUAGAGCGCAGCAUGAGAGAGAAAAACCAGGAGUUACACGAGUGUUCUACACGUGUUUUCGAAUCUUACGUAUCGGAAUAUAGAAAAAUUUCUUCCAUAGCCGUCAGAACAUUGAGAUUGUGUGGCAUGGGAUAUGUGUUUUACUUGAUGCUUGUAAUCUCCCUAGCUUUGGCGAUUGUAUACCUAUGA
rnacentral:rRNA from 1 species